GACGAACGCUGGCGGCGUGCUUAACACAUGCAAGUCGAACGGAGCGAAUGAAAGCUUGCUUUUAUAAGCUUAGUGGCAAACGGGUGAGUAACACGUAGACAACCUGCCGACAGGAUGGGGACAACAUUCCGAAAGGAAUGCUAAUACCGAAUGAAGUGCAGGGGAGGCAUCUCCCCUGCAUGAAAGAUGGCCUCUAUAUAUAUGCUAUCACCUGUUGAUGGGUCUGCGUCUGAUUAGCUGGUAGGUGAGGUAACGGCUCACCUAGGCGACGAUCGGUAGCCGGUCUGAGAGGAUGAACGGCCACAUUGGGACUGAGACACGGCCCAGACUCCUACGGGAGGCAGCAGUGGGGAAUCUUCCGCAAUGGGCGCAAGCCUGACGGAGCAACGCCGCGUGAGUGAAGAAGGUCUUCGGAUCGUAAAAGCUCUG
rnacentral:rRNA from 1 species